AGCGAGGGACUGACAGAUUAUAAUGGCGGCGGCAUUUCUUAAUCAAACAUCGAAACCUGAGAGAUUGGACGAGAAGAGAUCAGAAAUAUUAGAUUUUAUAGAACAACAAAAACAAGUAGACAGAAAAGUGGUGUUAGUAACAGUGAGUAUAUUACAAAGAGUGGCGGUACCACGGUUCCGUUAGAGAGUAAGACUGUGCGUUUCAUUGAUAAUUUCAGCGUUGGAUCCAGAGGAGCUGCAUCUACCGAAUAUUUUCUGAAGAAAGGUUAUGCUGUGGUAUUUCUCCACAGAAACAGAUCUCUGAAGCCAUUUCUACGCCAUUUGUCGACAUACAACUUCCUUGAUUUGUUGGAGUUGGAUGGUGAAAACCAAGAUGCACCAGUGAAAGUGAAAUCAGAGCACCAAAAAAGGCUUUCCUCCAUUCUGCGUGAUUAUGAACAAGUCCAGCGCGAUCGCUCCCUGCUGUGGGUGGAGUUCCAGUCAUUGUCUGAGUAUUUACACCUGCUACAAAUGUGUUCUACCUGUCUACAAGGCCUUGGAAAAUCCGCCAUGUUGUAUCUAGCAGCUGCUGUCGCAGAUUUCUACAUCCCAAAGGAUCAAAUGCCUGAGCAUAAAAUCCAGUCAGCAGAGGGUCCGUUACAGCUCUCUCUACAACUUGUCCCUAAAAUGCUGGAACCCUUGGUGAAAGAGUGGGUGCCAGAAGCUUUUGUCGUGUCUUUUAAACUGGAAACAAAUAAAGAUAUUUUGGUGUCCAAAUCCCUACAAGCACUAGACAAAUAUCAACAUCAGCUGGUGAUUGCAAACCUUCUGGAGACGAGAAAGAGGGAGGUCAAACUGGUGACCACAGAUAAUUGUGUAGAUAUUUCUAUGACAACUGAAGAACUAAGUAGUGGCCAUGAAAUUGAGGAAAAGAUAGUGAGAGAACUAGCCUCUUUACAUUCAAAGUUCUGUUCACCAGACGGUCACUGAUUCUGUUUUAAUUCAUUGUAGAAAAAGGUUGUUUCUGUAACUAAGGAAAGUUUAUUACUUUCUCUCAGGUGAUAAUAUAUUGAAAGUUAAGUUUUAAUGGAUCAACAUUUAUGGCUUAAAAAAUACUAGUAUUGUACAUACAUUGUAUAUGAUUAAUAUAUGUGUCACUUUUUUUAAAGGAAUGCAAAUUGCAAUACAUUCUUAUCCAACAAAUAGCCUAAUUCAUAAGGAAUUUCUUGCACAUGUUGCAUGUACAUUCCUUAUUUUUGGGUACGAAUCCAUCUACAUGUAUAAAAAGAUGUCACUCUUUAGCAGCAGAUUUCUUGUAUAAGUAAAGUUUAGUUACAUUGUUAUGAUGAAUUAAGGAUAUACUAAUAAAAUCAUUGUUACCAUUUU
rnacentral:misc_RNA from 1 species